UGAGGAAUAUUGGACAAUGGGCGAAAGCCUGAUCCAGCCAUGCCGCGUGCAGGAAGACGGCCCUAUGGGUUGUAAACUGCUUUUAUACGGGAAGAAACACCCCCUCGUGAGGGGGCUUGACGGUACCGUAGGAAUAAGGAUCGGCUAACUCCGUGCCAGCAGCCGCGGUAAUACGGAGGGUGCGAGCGUUGUCCGGAUUUAUUGGGUUUAAAGGGUGCGUAGGCGGGAUGCUAAGUCAGUGGUGAAAGACGGUGGCUCAACCAUCGCAGUGCCGUUGAUACUGGUGUUCUUGAAUGCGGAUGAGGUAGGCGGAAUGUGGCAAGUAGCGGUGAAAUGCAUAGAUAUGCCACAGAACACCGAUUGCGAAGGCAGCUUACCAAAUCGUUAUUGACGCUGAUGCACGAAAGCGUGGGGAUCAAACAGGAUUAGAUACCC
rnacentral:rRNA from 1 species